AUGAGAAGGCUGACCGCUGGUCCUCGGGCCAGCAGCCCUCAGCGACCGUCUUCAUGGAACAGCAACUUUUGCUCCCAAGGAGUGUGCACUUGGCAGGAUGCUUCUGCAGCUGGGGGCUGGGCUGACCUCAGCUGGCCUCGUGUGCACCUGCUGUCAGUUGGCAGGUGGCUGGGGGCUGACUGGUCCGGGACAGCCACAGCUGGCCUCCACAUCGCUGCCAUCCUGCCCCAGGCCGGCCUGGGCUUGUGCUCAGGAUGCUGGCAGGCUUCCAGGAGAGAGUGGGGGCCGAGGCUUGGAGCCCCAUCCUUGCGGCCGAAGCAGGCCCGGACUGAGCUGCUCUGCACGCCCUGCAACCUGGACCCCAGCCCCAGCAUCGCCUUUCUCAGAAGACUUCCCCCUCACCCUCUACACCCCCUCAUCCCCCACCCAGGCCAGGCAGCGUCCCCCAGUGGUGGAGGCUCAAUCCUGCUCCUGAAAGGUGACUCAUUAAAUGGACAAUCAAAUGCAAAUUGGCAAGCCCGCUUUUUCAUAAGGCUUUUUAUAUAAGUAAAUGGCUAAAUCAGGAAAACAUCUCUGGGCAGACCAUCUGUCUCAACUGGAGCUUUGAAAAAUAUGGUCACCUAGCAAUGCUCCCGAGUCAGACGCUAAAAACGAAAUACCGGGCCCACAAGGGAACAUCACUCCUGCUCUGAAAGUGGGUUGCCUGCCCCGGCUUCGUGGGCCGCCGAAGACCUCCCUCAGGUCGCAGCCUCGAGGUCUGGGGCUGCCGGGGCUGAGGAGCAGCUCGGGAGGUGGGGGGGCACCAGCUCACCUGCACUGGGCCCCAGCAGGCCCUGCGGAGACGGGCAGACACGGGUUUAGCGGCGUCCGGCCCUCUCCUACUUUCCUUGUCUCUGCAGCUCCCAUUGGGGCCACACGGGGCUGCCUUUGGGGUCCCCACCUCCCCGCCCCACCUGGCCCUUGUGAGGCAGGAAUCAGGUGUGGCCGCUAGAAUGGCCUCUAGGGAAGAUGCAGGCACCUGGCGGGGCCCAGGGGGCGAGGCCGUGAGCGCCCAGAGUGGGGGAACCGAAGCGCCCACAGGCAGCCCUGUCCGGAGGGUGCCAGAGCCGGGGUUCAAGGCCCCAACUUGAACUGCACCAAAUACUCUUAACUGUUUCACUUCUGUGACUGUUUUUUUUUUCCACUGUGACCGUUUUUUUA
rnacentral:lncRNA from 12 species